GGGCCCGUACAAGUGGUGGAGCAUGUGGUUUAAUUCGAUGCAACGCGAAGAACCUUACCUACCCUUGAAAUCCAGCGAAGUUUUCAGAGAUGAAAAUGUGCCUUCGGGAACGCUGUGACAGGUGUUGCAUGGCUGUCGUCAGCUCGUGUCGUGAGAUGUAUGGUUAAGUCCAGUAACGAGCGCAACCCCUAUCCUUAUUUGCCAGCGCGUUAAGGCGGGAACUAUAGGGAGACUGCCGGGUGAAACCCGGAGGAAGGCGGGGACGAGGUCAAGUCAUCAUGGCCCUUAUGGGUAGGGCUACACACGUGCUACAAUGGGAAGUACAGAGGGAUGCGAAAGCGCGAGCUGAAGCUAAACCCUUAAAACUUUUCUUAGUCCGGAUUGGAGUCUGCAACUCGACUCCAUGAAGUCGGAAUCACUAGUAA
rnacentral:rRNA from 1 species